CAACUUCCGGAGAGGAGCUGAGGUAGCCAUGUUUCUGUAAUUUCACUACAUGACAGGAUGGCGCUAAACAAAAUGUGCGUGUGUUGGCAAUUUUGUUCAAUUCAUAUUUCCAUAUCCUGAGACUUCAGGAUACAAAAUGACAGUCGUCUUUAGUCCUAGCAAGAAGGUCAUGAAUGUGGAUGAGGUCCAAAGAAAGGGCUAUGCAAUAGCCAACACUCCCACACGGCUGGUGUUAAGAAGCCCUCAUAAUGCACAGGAGACAUACCUCCAGAAUGUAGCUGGGGUUCCGAUGCGGGUGCUCUCAACCUCAACCUUCUUUGAGCAGAAGUGGCUGGUUACUCGAAUAGAUGCCAUGGCUGUUUGUCCAACACCAGAGGCAGUGGCCUUUACU